rnacentral:rRNA from 1 species
AUGAACGCUAGCUACAGGCUUAACACAUGCAAGUCGAGGGGCAGCAUGAACUUAGCUUGCUAAGUUUGAUGGCGACCGGCGCACGGGUGAGUAACACGUAUCCAACCUGCCGAUGACUCGGGGAUAGCCUUUCGAAAGAAAGAUUAAUACCCGAUGGCAUAGUUCUUCCGCAUGGUAGAACUAUUAAAGAAUUUCGGUCAUCGAUGGGGAUGCGUUCCAUUAGGUUGUUGGCGGGGUAACGGCCCACCAAGCCUUCGAUGGAUAGGGGUUCUGAGAGGAAGGUCCCCCACAUUGGAACUGAGACACGGUCCAAACUCCUACGGGAGGCAGCAGUGAGGAAUAUUGGUCAAUGGACGAGAGUCUGAACCAGCCAAGUAGCGUGAAGGAUGACUGCCCUAUGGGUUGUAAACUUCUUUUAUACGGGAAUAAAGUGAGGCACGUGUGCCUUUUUGUAUGUACCGUAUGAAUAAGGAUCGGCUAACUCCGUGCCAGCAGCCGCGGUAAUACGGAGGAUCCGAGCGUUAUCCGGAUUUAUUGGGUUUAAAGGGAGCGUAGGCGGACGCUUAAGUCAGUUGUGAAAGUUUGCGGCUCAACCGUAAAAUUGCAGUUGAUACUGGGUGUCUUGAGUACAGUAGAGGCAGGCGGAAUUCGUGGUGUAGCGGUGAAAUGCUUAGAUAUCACGAAGAACUCCGAUUGCGAAGGCAGCUUGCUGGACUGUAACUGACGCUGAUGCUCGAAAGUGUGGGUAUCAAACAGGAUUAGAUACCCUGGUAGUCCACACAGUAAACGAUGAAUACUCGCUGUUUGCGAUAUACAGUAAGCGGCCAAGCGAAAGCGUUAAGUAUUCCACCUGGGGAGUACGCCGGCAACGGUGAAACUCAAAGGAAUUGACGGGGGCCCGCACAAGCGGAGGAACAUGUGGUUUAAUUCGAUGAUACGCGAGGAACCUUACCCGGGCUUGAAUUGCAACUGAAUGAUGUGGAGACAUGUCAGCCGCAAGGCAGUUGUGAAGGUGCUGCAUGGUUGUCGUCAGCUCGUGCCGUGAGGUGUCGGCUUAAGUGCCAUAACGAGCGCAACCCUUAUCGAUAGUUACCAUCAGGUUAUGCUGGGGACUCUGUCGAGACUGCCGUCGUAAGAUGUGAGGAAGGUGGGGAUGACGUCAAAUCAGCACGGCCCUUACGUCCGGGGCUACACACGUGUUACAAUGGGGGGUACAGAAGGCAGCUACACGGCGACGUGAUGCUAAUCCCUAAAGCCUCUCUCAGUUCGGAUUGGAGUCUGCAACCCGACUCCAUGAAGCUGGAUUCGCUAGUAAUCGCGCAUCAGCCACGGCGCGGUGAAUACGUUCCCGGGCCUUGUACACACCGCCCGUCACACCAUGAGAGUUGGCAACACCCGAAGCCGGCGGCCCAACCCGCAAGGGAGGGAGCUGUCUAAGGUGGGGCUGAUGAUUGGGGUG